UAUUAAUAUUUUCAUCUAUAUCUACUAUUAAAAACUGAUGUGGUUGACGAAAAACUAAACAAUUACACGUGAUGUGCCACGUGUACCUCAUGAUGAUAUAUAGAGACCAGUUUUUAACAGUAAAAAUAGAUAAAAUUUUUAACA
rfam:Gossypium hirsutum cultivar TM-1 unplaced genomic scaffold scaffold854.1, whole genome shotgun sequence